GGCUCCAUGGUGUAAUGGUUAGCACUCUGGGCUUUGAAUCCAGUCAUCCGAGUUCAAAUCUCGGUGGAAUCU
rnacentral:tRNA from 1 species